rnacentral:rRNA from 1 species
GGUUAACGCUGGCGGCGUGCCUAAAACAUGCAAGUCGAACGAGAGCUUCGGCUCGAGUGGCAGACGGCUGAGUAACGCGUGGGUGACAUACCCGUUGGUGGGGAAUAACUGCCCGAAAGGGUGGCUAAUACCGCAUACGCCCGUUGGUUCAAUCCGAUGGGGAAAGUCGCAAGACGCCGAUGGACUGGCCCGCGUUCGAUUAGCUUGUUGGUGGGGUAACGGCCUACCAAGGCGACGAUCGAUAGCUGGUCUCAGAGGAUGAUCAGCCAGACUGGGACUGAGACACGGCCCAGACUCCUACGGGAGGCAGCAGUUAGGAAUUUUGGGCAAUGGGCGAAAGCCUGACCCAGCAACGCCGCGUGGGUGACGAAGGCCUUCGGGUUGUAAAGCCCUUUUCUGAGGGAAGAUGAUGACGGUACCUCAGGAAUAAGCACCGGCUAACUACGUGCCAGCAGCCGCCGUAAGAC